GCGCCCGUGGUGUAGCUGGCAACACGGCGGCCUUCCAAGCCGCGGUCACGAGUUCGAACCUCGUCGGGCGCU
rnacentral:tRNA from 1 species